CGAGAGGCUCAAGUUGACAGACAGCGGCGUAAAGAGUGGUUAAGGAAAAUUUUUAAACUAAAGCCGAACGCCUGCAGAACUGUUAUACGUUUAUGAAGGUAUGAAGCUCGACCACGAAAGUGGCUUUACUACCCCUGACCCCACGAAAGCUGUGAAACAAACCGGGAUUAGAUACCCCAUUAUGCUCAGCCGUAAACUUUGAUAGACCAUUACAUCCGCUAUCCGCCCGGGUACUACGAGCAUCAGCUUAAAACCCAAAGGACUUGGCGGUGCUUAACAUCCACCUAGAGGAGCCUGUCCUAGAACCGAUAAUCCCCGUUAAACCUCACCCUCCCUUGCUUUUUCCCGCCUAUAUACCGCCGUCGUCAGUUUGCCCUUUGAAGGUCCCGUAGCAAGCACAAUUGGUACUGCCCAGAACGUCAGGUCGAGGUGUAGCUUAUGAGAGGGGAUGAGAUGGGCUACAUUUCCUGAAUCAGGACAUACGGAUAGUGAUUCUGAAACGAACGCUAGAAGGAGGAUUUAGUAGUAAGUAGAAAACAGAGAGUUCUACUGAACCCGGCUCUUAAGCGUGCACACACCGCCCGUCACUCUCCCCGAGCAUAAUUAUGAACCCAUAACUAAUAUGCCAUCCAU
rnacentral:rRNA from 1 species